rnacentral:misc_RNA from 1 species
AACUUUUGGCAACGGAUCUCUUGGCUCUCGCAUCGAUGAAGAACGCAGCGAAUUGCGAUAAGUAAUGUGAAUUGCAGAUUUUCCGUGAAUCAUCGAAUCUUUGAACGCACCUUGCGCUCCUUGGUAUUCCGAGGCGCAUGCCUGUUUGAGUGUCAUUAAUAUAAUCAACCUUCUCUUGUUUUGAGAGCGGUUUGGAUGUGGGGGUUUGCUGGCCUGUCUUAAAAGGUUCAGCUCUCCUGAAAUGCAUUAGCAGAAUGACCUUUGCUCAUUGGUGUGAUAACUAUCUACGCUUUUGAAUACGAGGGGCAGUUCAGCUUUCUAAUGGUCUUUGGACAAUUCAUCAUUAAUGUGACCUCAAAUCAGGUAGGACUACCCGCUGAACUUAAGCAUAUCAAUAAGCGGAGGCU